AACGUCGAAUAUCGACGUCAUAAACACUAAAGUUGUUCGUGUUUAUGACGUCGAAUAUCGACGUCAUAAACACCAAAGUUGAUCGUGUUUAUGACGUCGAAUAUCGACGUCAUAAACACCAAAGUUGAUCGUGUUUAUGACGUCGAAUAUCGACGUC
rnacentral:miRNA from 1 species